rnacentral:rRNA from 1 species
UACGUAGGGGGGCGAGCGUUGUCCGGAUUUAUUGGGCGUAAAGAGCGUGUAGGCGGCCAGGUAGGUCUGCUGUGAAAACUCGAGGCUCAACCUCGAGACGUCGGCGGAAACCAUCUGGCUAGAGUCCGGAAGAGGAGAGUGGAAUUCCCGGUGUAGCGGUGAAAUGCGUAGAGAUCGGGAGGAAGGCCGGUGGCGAAGGCGGCGCUCUGGAACGGCCCUGACACUGAGGCUCGAAAGCGUGGGGAGCAAACAGG